GGGGUGUAUGGCUCAGUGGGGAAGCAUUCGACUGCAGAUCGAGAGGUCUCCGGUUCAAACCCGGGUGCCCCUU
rnacentral:tRNA from 1 species